ensembl:lncRNA
GGAUUGAUUGGCUUUGAGCUCACGGUAGAAGCGCCGCUAAUUUUCCUUCCUGUUUCAUUAUCGACUGAAGGGAUGUUUAUUACUGAUCCCCAGGAAAGCAUAAAGCACAAGGUGAGUAACACUGCUGUUCAGAAAAGCCAGAUGGGGUUGUUCAGCGAGCCAAGGCAAAGCAAAGAAGAAAAACAAGCCAAGGCACUCAAUCUCAUGCAUUUCAGUUUCAAGCCUUCCCUACGCAAACUCCAAGGCAUACCCACCCAUCUCAAACACCAGUGUCCAUCUCAGGGCUGGGCUGAUGACUGGACAUGGUUCUUCUAAUUGACAUAGGGAUGAGCACAAGGCAAGGAGUGGAGCUUGUCUCUGGGACAAAACCUUCAUGUAUGUCCAGGACCACAGUUGGAUUCCAUUGGACAACAGCAAAGUGGGAUGUGACAGCAGGUCCUCACUCACCCCUGCACAGCUCCUGGGGCAAUACGGGGUCAGCAGGUCCAUACUGUCACAGUUUGCCACUGGUGAUAAUGCCUUCAAGCUCUGCUACAAGGCAUGACUUCCAUGCAUUUGGCUUCUCACUAUGCCUUCUCUCUACAGGAUGAGAAAAGCUUCUCAGAUUCUGCUAUUCUCACCUUUGCAGAUGCUCAUCCACUGUAUGCAAGUCACCUCUUUGUCUUCAGAGACAACUAAAUUGUCUAAAUGACAAUGCCUGGAACCAAAGCACUUCUGUUCACAACACUGCUUAUGGAGCCAUCACCCUCUGAACCUGAUGAGCUCUCCCAGGGGGAAGUGUGCAACAACAGCUUUGUUAUGUGCUGGGUCUGUGCCUUAACCCACAGCCCCGAGCUUGUGGUCUUCUUGGUGUCUGGGAGGUGAUUCAGCUCAGGCAGAGCUGGCCUGAACUGGGACAGAAGGACUCUCUGGGCAAUUUACUUUGCUUACCUGCUAGUAAAGUCAAGCAAAAUACAGUAUUUUCUGAACUUGUAGCAUUUUCUUGUUGUCAGUUGUUGUUACUGUAUUAAGUGUGUGACCAUGACAUAGGAACUUGUGUCAGACCAUCAUUGCAAUGAGUAAUUCUGCUUUUCUUGGUGUCUGCAGACAGCUCCUCUGUCUGGCAGCAUGGAUUUCAUAGAGACCCCUAUUUUUCAGGGCAAUUCCUGGUGGGUGGCUGCCAGAGCUCUGCAUGGGAUGGAUUCAUCUUGCCCACGCUGGCAUCCCUAAAUACAACCAGGUGUCCCCAGGCUCUCUGCAGGUGGGGCAGGUCCAGUUAGUGGGGUACACUCAUUCCUCAGGUUUUUAUCUCCAAUCCAAAGAGUGUCAGAGAAAUCUCUCCCAGCACAAAAGCACUACAGACCCACUGUGAUGGGAUGAGGGGACACUGCACUGAAACUUUGAGGAUCAGAGGCAAGCUAUUUGUUCAAAUCACCUUCCUUUAUCUGCAGGGAGAGCUUCAUGCAAUGCUUUAACUCACCAUGAUGAUCCAAGGACUGCUGUGCACGGAACAGAGCCAGCUGUCAGGGUCAGGAGGCACCAAUAAAUCAAAGCCGUGCACUGGAGGAGAGCCCAGCACCACCCAUCCACCACACACCCUCAGUUAAUCUGCCACAGGUAGUGAGUACUUCUCAGUCCCAGUGAGGGGCAGGUCGGUUGUGAGUGGGAUGUUCCCAGCUUGCAGACACAGGGUGGCACAGCUGCU